rnacentral:rRNA from 1 species
GAAUAUUGGACAAUGGGCGAAAGCCUGAUCCAGCAAUGCCGCGUGAGUGAUGAAGGCCUUAGGGUUGUAAAGCUCUUUUACCAGGGAUGAUAAUGAUAGUACCUGGAGAAUAAGCUCCGGCUAACUCCGUGCCAGCAGCCGCGGUAAUACGGAGGGAGCUAGCGUUGUUCGGAAUUACUGGGCGUAAAGGGCGCGUAGGCGGCCUGCUAAGUCGAACGUGAAAUCCCUGGGCUCAACCCAGGAACUGCGUCCGAUACUGGUUGGCUUGAAUCCGGGAGAGGGAUGUGGAAUUCCAGGUGUAGCGGUGAAAUGUGUAGAUAUCUGGAGGAACACCGGUGGCGAAGGCGACAUCCUGGACCGGUAUUGACGCUGAGGCGCGAAAGCCAGGGGAGCAAACGGG